rnacentral:rRNA from 1 species
AGAGUUUGAUCAUGGCUCAGGAUGAACGCUAGCGGCAAGCUUAAUACAUGCAAGUCGAGGGGCAGCGCAGUGUAGCAAUACAUGGGCGGCGACCGGCAAACGGGUGCGGAACACGUACAGAACCUUCCUUCGAGCGGGGAAUAGCCCAGAGAAAUUUGGAUUAAUACCCCAUAGCAUAUUGGAGUGGCAUCACUCUAAUAUUAAAGAUUUAUCACUUGAAGAUGGCUGUGCGGCUGAUUAGAUAGUUGGCGGGGUAACGGCCCACCAAGUCUGCGAUCAGUAACUGGUGUGAGAGCACGACCAGUCACACGGGCACUGAGACACGGGCCCGACUCCUACGGGAGGCAGCAGUAAGGAAUAUUGGUCAAUGGACGAAAGUCUGAACCAGCUAUGCCGCGUGGAGGAUGAAGGCCCUCUGGGUUGUAAACUUCUUUUAUAUGGGACGAAAAAGGGUCUUUCUAGAUCAACUGACGGUACCAUGGAAUAGACGAUCCCCC